GCAGGCCAAGCCCUGAGACGUGUUGCAUAGGCGUAGCGAAUCGAGCGAAGCUAGCCAAUCUAGCCGGAAGUGUAAAGAGCGCGCCCCUACAAGCUAGCGAACCUAGACCCCUAGCGUAGCAAAGCUAGCGGCCUUUGGAGGUCCUACGCUUGCUAUUCAAAAUGGCCGACAUCGUUGUCGCUUUCAAGUUUGCAGAUGAGAGUUUCUUUGAUGCUCCCGUUAAAAAGGAGUAUUGGACCGGAUACAAAGUGAAAUGAAUGUGGGAAAUCAAUGGACCAAGGGGGCAGUACUUUUCCUCAUGGACACUUAUGCCGAACAUAAGGAACAAUUUGCAAUUCCAACUUGAAAAUAGAGGUAUGGAAGAGGAUUGCUUCGGAAAUGGCAGCCUCAGGAUGCCACUUUGCUCCAGCAGCACUUGAGAAAAAAAUGGAGCAAUAUGAAAAUAUGGUACAAAGCUAUAUUAGAUUUCAA